rnacentral:rRNA from 1 species
AUGGUUGUAGCUUCUCAGGCGCCGGUUGCAGCUUCCAUGGGUACCCGCCCCAGCUUUUGUGUAUCUCUGCUCAAGCUUUCCUUCUCACCUGUGGUAGCUUUCUCAGGUGCGGGUUUCAACAUCUGUUUGUUGUCGUCUCCAGCUCCGGUUAGUGCUGGUUGCAGCACCGAUGUUGGGUGGCGCCGUUGUAGCUUUCAGGUCUGUAGGAAGGAGAGAAAAAGCACCAUGAAAAGAGCUCCAAAAUUCUCUAGGGAUCCAUGGCGGUUUGCUGUGGGGAGUGGAGAAACGGAGCCAUGGCCGCGGCCGGCUAGCCGGAGUGGAGCCAGGAGUGUGUGGGUGCUGGCACGCUCGCCGGCAGGGAUCGGAGAAACAAGAAAGUGGAUGCGGGACGGGCUAAGUUUUGUUGUGGAUAAGGCAGAGGAGCGAGGAAGAAACGAGUGGAGGAGCACUUCGUUUGGUGCGUGGCCCCAUGUGCAGAAGUGCGAGUCGAGGCGAGCAAGGGGCGUGACCGGCCGAAGCUUCGGCCGGACCGCUGAUUAUAAACGUUUCCCGAAGAAAAAUCUAUGA